UGAUAAAACUAUUUAAAAUCGAUUUCGU
rnacentral:sRNA from 1 species